rnacentral:rRNA from 1 species
UAGGGAAUCUUCCGCAAUGGACGCAAGUCUGACGGAGCAACGCCGCGUGAGUGAAGAAGGAUUUCGGUUCGUAAAACUCUGUUGUUAGAGAAGAACAGCGCAUAGAGUAACUGUUAUGCGUGUGACGGUAUCUAACCAGAAAGCCACGGCUAACUACGUGCCAGCAGCCGCGGUAAUACGUAGGUGGCAAGCGUUGUCCGGAUUUAUUGGGCGUAAAGCGAGCGCAGGCGGUCAAUUAAGUCUGAUGUGAAAGCCCCCGGCUCAACCGGGGAGGGUCAUUGGAAACUGGUUGACUUGAGUGCAGAAGAGGAGAGUGGAAUUCCAUGUGUAGCGGUGAAAUGCGUAGAUAUAUGGAGGAACAGCAGUGGAGAAGGCGACUCUCUGGUCUGUAACUGACGCUGAGGCUCGAAAGCGUGGGUAGAAAACAGG